CGGCGCGCCGGGCCCAUGUGGGGAGCGCUGCGGGGGGCGCUGCGGGCGGGCGGGGCCUUGCGCGCCGCCUCCUCCAGCCCCAUGGCGGCCCCCGGGCCCGCCGCGGCGCGGGGCAGCACCGCCGGCAUCAUCGUCAUCGGCGACGAGAUCCUCAAGGGCCACACGCAGGACACGAACUCGUUCUUCAUGUGCCGGCGGCUGCGCGCCCUGGGCGUGCGGGUGGCGCGGAUCUCGGUGGUGCCCGACGACGUGGAGGCCAUCGCGGGCGAGGUGGCCGCCUUCGCCGCCCGCUUCACCUUCGUGCUCACCUCGGGGGGCAUCGGCCCUACGCACGACGAUGUGACCUUCGAGGCCGUGGCCAGGGCCUUUGGCGAGCAGGUCGCUCCCCACCCCGAGCUGGUGGCGCUGGUGCACCGGCUCUUUGGUGCGACGGACGCGCAGUGCCCCGAGAUGAAGCUGGCGCUCGUCCCCGCGUCCUCCCGCCUCAACUACGGCUCGGGCAGCGCCUUCAAGUACCCGCUGGUCAGCGUGCGCAACGUCUACAUCUUCCCCGGCAUCCCGGCGCUGAUGGAGCGCGCCCUGGACGGCUUCGCCCACCUCUUCCGCAGCGAGCAGACCCGGUUCCACUCCCGCGCCGUCUACGUGGCGGCCGACGAGGUGCUCAUCGCGCCCGCCUUGGACCAGGUCAAUGCCGCCUUCCAGGGCCGUGUCAGUCUGGGCUCCUACCCGGACUGGGCCAGUAACUACUACCGGGUGAAGCUGAUGCUGGACUCGGAGUCGGAGCAGGACCUGGAGGAAGCACAUUGCUUCUUGAUGGAGAAGCUGCCGCCGGGCGUUGUUGUGCCGUUGGUGAUGGACUGCAUCGCGCCAGCGGCCAUGGAGGUUUACGGCCUGGCUGAGUCAGGCUCAGCCCUGGGGCAGAAGGUGGCAGCAGCUCUGCGGACCAUCGAGGAGGCUUUGGAGCGGUACAGCCUGGCCCAGCUCUGCGUGGGCUUCAACGGGGGCAAGGACUGCACAGCCCUGCUGCACCUCGUCCAUGCUGCUGUGGAGAGGCGGUACCCGGUAAGGCAAGAGAAGCUGCAGGUGCUCUACAUCCGCAUCGUGUCCCCCUUCCCUGAGAUGGAGCAGUUCAUCCAGGCCACUGUGCAGAGGUACAAGGUGCAGCUCUGCACCGUGGAGGGCUCCAUUCAGGAGGCUCUGGUGCACCUGAAGGAGCAGCAGCCGCAGCUCGAGGCUGUGCUGAUGGGGACGCGGCGCACGGACCCCUACUCACGCACCUUGACCCCUAUGUGCCUGACGGACCCCAGCUGGCCCCGGUACAUGCGGGUGAACCCCCUGCUGGACUGGACCUACCGGGACAUCUGGGAGUUCCUGCGCCAGCUCUUUGUCCCCUACUGCGUCCUGUACGACAAGGGCUACACGUCCCUGGGGAGCAUGGCCAACACGCUCAAGAACCCGGCACUGCGCUACACCGACAGCCAGGGCCGGGACCGGUACCGGCCUGCCUACGAGCUGGAAAACGAGGAGGAGGAGCGCACGUCCCGCCGGUGAAGGCCGCACGGGCACCCCUGGGCUUUUAAAGCACAGAGAAUGGAGCAGUUUCCAGCGCUCGCCAUGCACCCGCCCGGCCGCAUCCCCGCAUCAGACCCCGCUGAGCCCUCGGCCAUGCGCCUGCUCCGAGCCCAGCCGCUGGGCACCGUGAGGCAAUCGGUGCGGGCCGUGGCACUGCCGGUACCUGUCGGCACCUCGCUGGGGCUGCGCCUGGCCUCCUGGCUGCUGCGGCUGCUGCGGGAGUGCGUGUACCUCCUGCUCUGCAGCUGGUGCAUCCAUGAGCUGCUGGACUAGGGAUGGACCCCCCCCGGCACCUCCUGUCUGCCCUGCGCAGUGAUGGGCCUGCCUGCUUUUUGCCCCAUGCUGAUUGAGCCAAUGGAUACCCAGUGCUGGGACCCCACUCUGCCGUCACAGAGACCCCAAUAAACCUGAGUAGCACCUGA